UUGGCCAUAUCAUGUCAAAACACCAGUUCCCAUACUAUCACUGAAGUUAAGCAAAGUUGAGCAUGGUCAGUACCUAGACGAGUGACCACUUGGGAAUACCAGGUACUGUAA